rnacentral:rRNA from 1 species
CAAAAACAUUGCCUCCUGAAUUAAUAUAAGAGGUAACUCCUGCCCAGUGAAAAGAUUUUUCAACGGCCGCGGUAUCCUAACCGUGCAAAGGUAGCAUAAUCACUUGUCUAUUAAUUGUAGACUUGAAUGAAAGGAUAAACGAAAUAAGAACUGUCUCUACUAGUCAUAUAUAAAUUAUAAUUUAGAUGAAGAUAUCUAAAUUAAAGUGAAGGACAAGAAGACCCUAUAGAGCUUUAUCGUAUAGAGGAAAGAAAUUUCCUUUUACAGAUUCGGUUGGGGCGACCAAGGGAUGAGCUAUCACCCUUUAAAUAAAGAUUUAUACAUCUUUUAUAUGACCCUUAAUUAAGAUCAUAAAAAUAAGCUACCUUAGGGAUAACAGGCUAAUCUUACUUAAGAGUCCUUAUCUAUAGUAAGGAUUGGCACCUCGAUGUUGGCUUAGGGUAUCUUUACGGCGCAAAAGUCAUAAGAAGAUGGUUUGUUCAACCUUUAAUUCCCUACGUGAUCUGA